CAGCAUCUGCAGUACAGGUCCCCCACCGAUUUUCCGGCAACUGGUGGCCAGGCACCUCCUUUAAUUUGGACAAAAUGACAAGAGCGCACUUGAAGUUCCCCGCCGGAAGUCCCCCCCGAAAAUGU